rnacentral:lncRNA from 1 species
UCGCCUGACACGCGCUGGUGAUAGGUAGUAGGUAUCACCUGACACUACCUGGUGAUAGGUAGGAGGUAUCACCUGACACGACCUGGUGAUAGCUAGUAGGUAUCACCUGACACGACCUGGGAAUAGGUAGUAGUAUAUCACCUGACACUACCUGGUGAUAGGUAGUAGUAUAUCACAUGACACGACCUGGUGAUAGGUAGUAGUGUAUCACCUGACACGACCUGGUGAUAGGUAGUAGGUAUCACCUUAACUGUUGAUAGGGGUGUGGAUGAGCAGGUUCAUGUGUUUUCUUUGUUCAUCAUGUCUGGGCGUUAUCUGGAUAUCCAAACCACAUCUUUGGAAUAACCACAAGCAUUUCACAAUUGAGCUCAUGUAAACUGCCAAGUUCUAUGUCGGUAUCAGUGAUAUGUGUACUUAUACUAUACAAUCUACAUCAGUACGCUGGUCGUGUUAUUAAGAUUUCAACUGCAGGUUUUUUCAAGUUGAUGAAUAAGAAAGACGCCAGCUUCAGGGUGAGAUGUAUCUCCGUUGUUAGACUGUAGUGUAUACCCCUUAGUGCUGCCAUACACACUUAGUACCUUAUAUUGGCCAUACACACUAAGUACCUUAUAUUGGCCAUACACACUUAGUACCUUAUAUUGGCCAUACACACUUAGUACCUUAUAUUGGCCAAGCUAAUAUACGUUACUAUAACGUCCUGUUGCAUUUGUUGGUAAGUGUUUGCAUGAUUUGUUAUAGGAAUUCGUCAAUAUCACUUAUGUGACCAUGGCGUGUUAAUCAAUCAGACUGUUUUAUAAGUAAUCUGAGUUAAUGAAUAGGAGUUAAAUAUUGUCAUGUUAGUUAAAAAGAAAACCAAACAGCAUCACGUGACGUGUAACUUGAUUGUGAUUCGUUAGAUACGUAGUUCGUGUUCUACAUUUAUGUUAGGCGUGCUAGAAAAACUUCCAAAUGCCUUAUUAUCAAAAUAAUCGUGGUAUAAUUAUAAGUGAUAUAUGUUAGGUAAUAACUUGAAAAAGAUGUGUAAUUAAUGAUUAAUCAAGCUUUGAUUAAAAUAAUAACGUUAAUUGCAUAUUUAAGAAUUUACUUGGGAAUGUCAUUGUUCCUUUAUUGAUAUUUUAUCAGAUUAAUUAUAUCGAUUUUAACUGUCACCUAAGAUAUGACGUAAUAACCAGAUGUAACUUUUAAGGUAGAACCUCAACCUGUAGAAACCAGACUCACAUCCUCUGUGUGUAGAGGAAGUCGUACUUAAUCAGAAUACUGGCGUUUUUCUCCUCGAUAUGUAUACCUAACAAUGUAGUCGGGGCAUGUCUACACAGUAUGGUAGGUAAACCCGUGUAUUUAAUUGGUGCUUCAUGUGUUCGGUAGAAAUAAAUGCUCUUUUUCGUGAUAGUGGCGAUCACGUCAUCUCAUUAGCAGUUCCCUCAUUUUUAAUGAUGAUAUGAUAUACAACAUUUAAUAAACCCCACAUUAUCCCUGUGCUUUUAAUGUGACCUGUAAUGUAAACGUUAUACCAAUAUAGACUGUAAACAGUUUCUAGAUGUAAGGAAAUGCGAUGGCUAUUUAUUUAAUAUUCUGUAACAGUGUUAGUAUAACAUGUCAAUUAUUUUGUACGUACUCUGUACAUGUAAUUAAAAAAAAUGUUACUUUAAGUAUCAUUGAUGGUGCAUGUAGUGACAUUGUUUGAUUGAGAUGUUUGUGUGAGGUCUAGUGACAUUGUAUGUGUGAGGUCUAGUGACAUUUAAUGUGUGAGGUCUAGUUACAUUGUAUGUGUGAGGUCAAGUUACAUUGUAUGUGUGAGGUCUAGUGACAUUGUAUGUGUGAGGUCUAGUAACAUUGUAUGUGUGAGGUCAAGUUACAUUGUAUGUGUGAGGUCUAGUGACAUUGUAUGUUUGAGGUCUAGUGACAUUGUAUGUGUGAGGUCUAGUUACAUUGUAUGUGUGAGGUCUAGUGACAUUGUAUGUUUGAGGUAUAGUAACCUUGUAUAAGGGCUAGUUACAUUGUGUGUGGUGUGUGAUCUAGUGACAUUGUGUGAGGUCUAGUAACAUUUUGUGAAGUCAAGUGGCAUUGUAUGUUUGAGGUCUAGUGACAUUGUAUGUUUGAGGUAUAGUAACAUUGUAUAAGGUCUAGUUACAUUGUGUGUGGUGUGUGAUCUAGUGACAUUGUGUGAGGUCUAGUUACAUUGUGUGAGGUCUAGUGAUAUUGUGUGAGGUGUGUGAUCUAGUUACAUUGUAUGUUUGAGGUAUAAUUACAUUAUGUGAGGUCUAGUUACAUUGUGUGUUGUGUGAGGUCUAGUUACAUUGUGUGUGGUGUGAUGUCUAGUUACAUUGGAUGUUUGAGGUAUGAUUACAUUGUGUGAGGACUAGUUACAUUGUGUGUGGUGUGAGGUCUAGUUACAUCGGAUGUUUGAGGUAUAAUUACAUUGUAUGUGGCGAGAGGUCUAAUUACAAUGUGUGUGGUGUGAGGUCUAGUUACAUUGUGUGUGGUGUGAGGUCUAGUUACAUUGUAGGUUUGAGGUAUAAUUACAUUGUGUGAGGUCUAGUUACAUUGUGUGUGGUGUGUGUUUUAGCUACAUUGUAUGUUUGAGGUAUAGUAACGGUGUGUGAGGUCUAGUUACAUUGUGUGUGGUGUGAGGUCUAGUUACAUUGGAUGUUUGAGGUAUAAUUACAUUGUGUGACGUGUGAGGUCUAGUUACAUUGGAUGUUUGAGGUAUAAUUACAUGGUGUGUGGUGUGAGGUCUAGUUACAUUGUAUGUGAUGGGAGGUCUAGUUACAUUGUGUGUGGUGUGAGGUCAAAGUUGCAUUGUGUGUGGUGUGAGGUCUAGUUACAUUGUGUGUUGUGUGAGGUCUAGUUACAUUGUGUGUGGUGUGAGGACUAGGUACAUUGUAGGUUUGAGGUAUUAUUUCAUUGUGUGAGGUCUAGUUACAUUGUGUGUGGUGUGUGGUUUAGCUACAUUGUAGUUUGAGGUAUAAUUACAUUGUGUGAGGUCUAGUUACAUUGUGUGUGGUGUGAGGUCUAGUUACAUUGUGUGUGGUGUGAGUUCUAGUUACAUUGUGUGUGGUGUGAGGUCUGGUUACAUUGUAGGGCUGACGUAUAAUUACAUUGUGUGAGGUCUAGUUACAUUGUGUGUGGUGUGAGGUCUAGUUACAUUGUGUGUGGUGUGAGUUCUAGUUACAUUGUGUGUGGUGUGAGGUCUGGUUACAUUGUAGGGCUGACGUAUAAUUACAUUGUGUGAGGUCUAGUUACAUUGUGUGUGGUGUGAGGUCUAGUUACAUUGUGUGUGGUGUGAGUUCUAGUUACAUUGUGUGUGGUGUGAGGUCUGGUUACAUUGUAGGGCUGAGGUAUAAUUACAUUGUGUGAGGUCUAGUUACAUUGUGUGUGGUGUGAGGUCUAGUUACAUUGUGUGUGGUGUGAGUUCUAGUUACAUUGUGUGUGGUGUGAGGUCUAGUUACAUUGUAGGGCUGAGGUAUAAUUACAUUGUGUGAGGUCUAGUUACAUUGUGUGUGUUGUGUGGUUUAGCUACAUUGUAGGUUUGAGGUCUAGUUACAUUGUGUGAGGUCUAGUUACAUUGUGUGAGGUCUAGUUACAUUGUGUGUGGUGUGAGGUCUAGUUAC